rnacentral:rRNA from 1 species
CCCGCACAAGCAGUGGAGUUAUGUGGUUUAAUUCGAAGCAACGCGAAGAACCUUACCAGGGCUUGACAUCCCUCGAAUUGCAUGGAACAUGCAAGUCCUUCGGGACGAGGAGACAGGUGGUGCAUGGUUGUCGUCAGCUCGUGUCGUGAGAUGUUGGGUUAAGUCCCGCAACGAGCGCAACCCUUGUUGUUAGUUGCCAGCGAGUAAUGUCGGGCACUCUAAGGAUACUGCCGGUGACAAACCGGAGGAAGGUGGGGAUGGCGUCAAAUCAUCAUGCCCUUUAUGACCUGGGCUACACACGUGCUACAAUGGCCUAUACAAAGGGUAGCGAAGCUGUGAAGUGGAGCCAAUCCCAAAAAGUAGGUCUCAGUUCGGAUUGUAGGCUGCAACUCGCCUACAUGAAGUCGGAAUCGCUAGUAAUCGCGGAUCAGCAUGCCGCGGUGAAUACGUUCCCGGGCCUU